UCCCAGCCCCUACCUUUCAAUUUUUAAGAGAAGUCAAAUAGGCUAUGUUUUGACACAGGCUUUGAGAAUUACAACUCAAGAUAUUGUAACUACAAUGCCAGCUUCUCAACACUUGAAUGUGGCCCGUUCUGUUACCUAGGCCUGGAAUCCCCAUAUUUCUUCCAGAUUAUCACUAGAAUACCCAUGUCAAUUUCUGAGCCCAUAAAGAGUCCACGAGCGACUUCAUUGCAGAUUCCUAGGUGAGUAAUCCCCUUUUCGCUCUCCGCAGCACAUCUGGGGAUCUUACUGGAAAGAAGGCCGAUGGGGAUACAAAUGCUGUCACUCGUUCUUCAAGUAUUCCUACUGCACUGGAGAAGCUGGGAAGGAGACUGCUAACGCCGAGGAGUGCGUGAUAAGUGAUGAGACUGGAGAAGAGUCGGUGAAGAAACCACAGACGCUCGUGGAGAUGCACCAAGAAAAACUAAAGGAAGAGAAGAAGAAGAAGAAAAAGAAGAAGAAGCACCGGAAGAGCAGCUCUGACAGCGAUGACGAAGAGAAGAAACAGGAGAAGCUGAAGAAGGUGUGUAAGGAAGUAUCCGUGUCACACAGAGUCCUGUGUGAUCUCGCCCUGCCUGCCCCUGGCUCGGCUCUGCGUGGAUCACAGGAGAGUUGUGGUCUAGACACCGGCUCCUCCUUGCAGUGCUGAAUAAGUAUUGCUCGUGCUCACCUGAAGACAUGUGCUUUGUGUUUUGUUGUUUGUUUAUUU